AGUUCAUUGUGCAGAUGGGCUCUCUGAUUCCAUCACAAUGGUAUCUCCAUACACUGCCUCUCUCCCUCCCUCUUAGGCAGGGCGAAUCUGCUGGGCUUUAAAUCUUUCUCAGCCAGGAGGAAUUCCGAAAGGAGGAAAACAGCUGGGAAACACAUAUCCAUGCCUCCUGCAAAGAUGGGACCUGAUUCUCUAACUUUUGGGAAGAAACCUGCGUAGACUGACCGUAAAAAGAGCCAGAGGAAUAUAAGAAAAACAAAAUACAGUCUUGAGCCCAGACCUAGGCCAACAUAUGCUGGUGAUUUCACAUGGUGUCACUGCAAGAAGCUGUUGGGAAUGUUGUGGUAUUAAUAGAAUCUAGAUACCAUUUAAUACUUAAAGAGAUGGUUCCUUCACCUAGGACUCAGGAUAGCACAUUCUGCUUACUGAGAAGGGUCACCAAAUGGCAGUGUGCAUGAGCAAAUACUUAGCAACCUGCUUUGCUUCUGGGAAAAAUACCAGGUAAAGCUGAAGCACAUAUUUUCUCUUGGGCAUAACAAAAUAAAGAGCACCCUCACCCUUACUGAGCUCAGCUAGACUGUACUGGUGAGUUGAACCGGGACAGAAUCCAGUCCAGAGUGAUACUGAGGAAGAGGAGAACAUCACAGGAGCACAGAAACAAAGAUGCAGGCUCCUCAUAUACCAGAAGAGGAAAAGGAGGUGGCAGCAUCGUGCAUGUCUCUUUGUUGGCGUAACGAGCAAAGGAGACUUUAACUCUUCUGUUUGGAGGCUUUUGGGAAUUUGCUUUCAUGGAUAUCCAGACUGUGAAGUGUUGACGAAAAUAAUUGAAAAAUAACAUUCCUUAUAACGCCCAGCAGGACUGAACUCCUUCAAAGUCUCCAAAGUAGUGGUGUGACUCUGCCAUUAGAGUGAAGUAAUGCCAUUUUGAUAAUUCUACCAGUCUUACAAAAGACCUGUGAAAAAUUUGGAGGAUUUAGAUAUUCUAGCCAACGUUCAGCUGAUGUGAUUCAAUGGGGCUUCAAAUUUCCUUCAAGAGAUCUAUGCUUAGUCAAAAAAUUGAAGACCUAGAAGGCAAUCAGAACGCAACAUGGGUACAGUGGGGAUAACAAUAAAAGGAAAGUC